CUAAGAGAUUCUUCUGGCCUGGAAUGUCAGCUGACAUUGAUAAAUGGGUGUCAGAGUGUGUGACAUGCCAGGCCAGUCAGAAUGUAAUAAAACAAGUGCAAUAUACACCCAUAAAGGUCACGGAACCAUUUGAGCUGGUGGGGAUGGACCUGAUAGGGCAAUUGGUGACAACAACACAGGACCAUAAAUAUAUAUGUGUCCUUGUGGAUUAUUUUACCAAGUGGUCACAAGCCUACCCGCUAAAAUCCAAAUGUGCAGAGGACGUCACCACAUGCAUUUUGAAAUUUGUUUAUCAGUUUGGGGCUCCGAAAAGAAUCCUGA